AGUGAACGCUGGCGGUAGGCCUAACACAUGCAAGUCGAACGGCAGCACAGUAAGAGCUUGCUCUUACGGGUGGCGAGUGGCGGACGGGUGAGGAAUACAUCGGAAUCUACUUUUUCGUGGGGGAUAACGUAGGGAAACUUACGCUAAUACCGCAUACGACCUACGGGUGAAAGCAGGGGAUCUUCGGACCUUUCGCGAUUGAAUGAGCCGAUGUCGGAUUAGCUAGUUGGCGGGGUAAAGGCCCACCAAGGCGACGAUCCGUAGCUGGUCUGAGAGGAUGAUCAGCCACACUGGAACUGAGACACGGUCCAGCCUCCUACGGGAGGCAGCAGUGGGGAAUGUUGGGCAAUGGGCGCAAGCCUGAUCCAGCCAUACCGCGUGGGUGAAGAAGGCCUUCGGGUUGUAAAGCCCUUUUGUUGGGAAAGAAAAGCAGCAGGUUAAUACCCAGCUGUACUGACGGUACCCAAAGAAUAAGCACCGGCUAACUUCGUG
rnacentral:rRNA from 1 species